GGCGGCUAGUAAUUGUGGAUACAAGUAUGAGUACGUUCAGCUGCAAUUUUUGAAAGUUCAAGUGACAAAAAGUGUCAAAAACGAGGACAAGAGUUUAUCAAUCGAAGGAGUAUCAAGCCGGCCCAUUAGCUAUAUAUUCUGAUGAGUUUGUCUGGAGAAAUUUCAUGCCAAAAUUACGCGAUGUUUUGACGAAAGUCUAUGAUCUGUGCAAAGCACGAGGCUUCGUUUUCGAACGAAGUUUCAAUUUAUCUCAUGGAAAUGUUUAUACAACGCUGGAUUAUGGACCACUUGGUAUAGAAACAAAGCGAAAUUUGUUGAAUGAAUGGUGGCAUGAGAUUGUCACCUCCAGGGAAAAUGUUUAUGGACUUGAUCUAGCUCUGCCAGGUAUAUACAACCAAACAAUUCAGCAAGAAGCAGCCGGCAUUGCUCUUCAACAUUUGUCCAGUUAUUUGGCAGAUACAUAUCAGUAUGCCUGUAAAUUGAUUGAAAUUCAGGGCAAUGAGAGCCCUACUGGAUUGGCACAGAAUCUGACCAUUUCACAAAGUGGUAAUGCGAAUAUUGAUGAGUUUAUGUUCAGGUAUUUUCCAGCCCUCGAAAACCGUCAAAAUGGGUCGUUCUUGAAAAGAUCCAUAUUCCCCCCACGGAGGAAAUUUCUGCUGUCCGGAGGGGGAGGGGAGAAAAAAUUGUUUCUGAUAAUAGUAAAUGUAUUAGGACAUCCGAAGGGGG